CAUGUAUACGGAGGUGCAUCUAUCUAGAUCCUACUUGAUUCACCUAACCUCAGUUUUUUUUAAAAGCAAUCUGUGGUGAAAUUGACGUGAUCAAAAAUAAUUGUCAAGUUUUGGCAACGCUGUGUGAAAAUAUUACUUACAAUUUCAUUUAAAAUCUUACCAUGAAGAUAAGGGAUUCCACUUCCACAUUGUUUUGUGCACGGACAGACUCAAGACGCAAGACCAAGGCGCGAGUGAAAAAGAUAUGCCCAACACCAGUGAACGUAAUUAUUUGGGCUAUGGAAAUUCUCGGAAAGCGCUCAAAGGGUGUACCUUUAGAUAAAAUACGGACUCUCAUCAAAAAUCACUUCAUUCUGCCAUGCAAGAAGAAAGACAUUGACAAAAAGAUAGACAUGACUGUUAUGUUUGCUGUCUAUUUUGGUAUUCUUGAAGAAAAUAAUAAUUUAUUCUUCCUCAAGCGUCCAGAUCAUCUGUUCUAGCAAUUUUAAAUUACCUUAGUACAACAAUAUGUAGUAAAAUGUGAGUUAAUAUAAAUUACUAAAUAAAAAUACUGUAAAAAACUAA